rnacentral:piRNA from 1 species
UCCUAGUUUAUCAAAGGUGCCAUUCUCUUG